UUUCCGUAGGUGAACCUGCGGAAGGAUCAUUAACGAGUAUGGGUCCUCACGGGCCCGAACUCCCACCCCAUGUUGUCGCGAACUUACGUUGCCUCGGCGGGCCCGCCUCGCGGCCCCCCGGCCCCCGGGUCGGGGCAGCGCCCGCCGACGGUCUACACUCACAACUCUUUGUUUGACAGUGAAGUCCGAGCAAAAAUUCUUAAUGAAUCAAAACUUUCAACAACGGAUCUCUUGGUUCUGGCAUCGAUGAAGAACGCAGC
rnacentral:misc_RNA from 1 species